AGUGAACGCUGGCGGCAGGCCUAACACAUGCAAGUCGAGCGGCAGCGGGUCCUUCGGGCUGCCGGCGAGCGGCGGACGGGUGAGGAAUGCAUCGGAAUCUGCCCUGUCGUGGGGGAUAACCUAGGGAAACUUAGGCUAAUACCGCAUACGACCCACGGGUGAAAGCGGGGGAUCGCAAGACCUCGCGCGAUAGGAUGAGCCGAUGUCCGAUUAGCUAGUUGGCGGGGUAAAGGCCCACCAAGGCGACGAUCGGUAGCUGGUCUGAGAGGAUGAUCAGCCACACUGGAACUGAGACACGGCCCAGACUCCUACGGGAGGCAGCAGUGGGGAAUAUUGGACAAUGGGCGCAAGCCUGAUCCAGCCAUGCCGCGUGGGUGAAGAAGGCCUUCGGGUUGUAAAGCCCUUUUGUCCGGGAAGAAAUCGUCUGGGCUAAUACCCCGGGCGGAUGACGGUACCGGAAGAAUAAGCACCGGCUAACUUCGUG
rnacentral:rRNA from 1 species